rnacentral:lncRNA from 1 species
GAGGAAACUCGUAUCAACAAGUAAAACAUGCAUCUUUUCUUUCAUUACACUGAAGAGUAACAUAAAGUCACUAACUUAGAAAUAAACAAAGAAAUGAGCCGCUAAAUCAUGGUGAAAAACCAAGCAAAGAGCUAAAAAAAUAUAAAUCCACACAACCAUAUAUGUAGCAUAUGAAUUUACCAUCCCCGGUUAUCUCAGUUAUCUCGUCCUUACCAGCGUUCUCGAUCAAACCAAUUCCCCCAUUUCAUAAUUCAUUCAUUCCACCCCCACAAAGAUUGACCCAGAAAGUAAAACACUAACAGGCAAAUGAAUUUGGGGUACCGAAUCCAGUUGUCAUGACUCCGUUAUACUGGAAACUAUCACAAUGACGGAAUGACCCUAAUGUUUCAUACUAUCAGGCUUGCCAUAAAACUAGCAGUUUAAGGUAGGGCUGUGCAUUCGGUAAAAACCGAACCGAACCGAACCGAAUUUCGGUUAACCGAAACCGAAAUAAUGUAAAAACUGCUGCCGAAAACCGAACCGAAAUAUGUUCGGUUUUGGAACCGAACCGAAGUUUAAAUUUCGGUUAAUACCGAAAACCGAAAAUUAAAACCGAAAUUUUCAGUGACUACUGUGCUACUUGGAGAUGCAGUGCAUAUGCUACUGUGCAAUACUGCAAUGGCCACCGGCCAGUGUGCUCAAAGAUCAAAGCAGAGAUUCUAUGCUCAAAGAUUAAGAAUAUAUUAAUCAAACCCAGCUACUACAAAUCUACAAUGUCUCUACACUCUACAAAACUGAGAACACACACUCACAGGGAUUUAAACCCACCUUGCUUUACUGUGAUUAAAGGAGCUCCGAGCGUCGUUGUUACUUGUUAGGUAUUAGGGUCUGCUGUGAUUUCAAACUCCCAAUUAGAUCGUCUUGUACUGCGGCUGUGCUGGGCCUGGCUGCUGGGUAUGUAUUGUUUUAGGUAAAUUAAGAAUAGAAUGAAUAUAUCAAGUAUUAGUAACAUAUAUUUCGGAUUUUAUAUUCGGUUUUUCGGUUAACCGCGGUUAAAAACCGAAUUACCGAAAAACCGAAUUUCAGAAAAUCUACUACCGAAAACCGAACCGAAUUAUGAAAUUUGGUUAACCGAACCGAAAUUAUUUCGGUUAUUCGGUUCGGUUUUCGGUUAACCGAACCGUUUGCACACCCCUAGUUUAAGGUACCCCAAAUAAAUUCCCCAAAUGUUUAUCAAAUAACGUGACAUCACAAUUAACACAUGACAAAUUUUAAAUUGGGGGCGCACACAUGCACGCGGGCUCUCAUAUUAUUAUUAAGAAAGUUAUCAUCU